AGAGUUUGAUCCUGGCUCAGAACGAACGCUGGCGGCGUGCCUAACACAUGCAAGUCGAGCGCGAAUGGAGCAAUCCUAGUAGAGCGGCGCACGGGUGCGUAACACGUGGAUAAUCUGCCUGGGUGUCUGGGAUAACCAGUCGAAAGAUUGGCUAAUACCGGAUAAGCCCCCGGGAGCUUCGGCUCUUGAGGGAAAAGGUGGCCUCUGUAUACAAGCUAUCACAUCCAGAUGAGUCCGCGGCCCAUCAGCUAGUUGGCGGGGUAAUGGCCCACCAAGGCAACGACGGGUAGCUGGUCUGAGAGGACGAUCAGCCACACUGGAACUGAGACACGGUCCAGACUCCUACGGGAGGCAGCAGUGGGGAAUUUUGCGCAAUGGGCGAAAGCCUGACGCAGCAACGCCGCGUGUGUGAUGAAGGUCUUCGGAUUGUAAAGCACUUUCGACCGGGACGAAAACCCGUUGGCUAACAUCCAACGGCUUGACGGUACCGGGAGAAGAAGCACCGGCUAACUCUGUGCCAGCAGCCGCGGUAAUACAGAGGGUGCAAGCGUUGUUCGGAAUUAUUGGGCGUAAAGCGCGUGUAGGCGGCUUUGCAAGUCGGGUGUGAAAGCCCUCAGCUCAACUGAGGAAGUGCGCCCGAAACUGCAGAGCUUGAGUGCCGGAGAGGGUGGCGGAAUUCCCCAAGUAGAGGUGAAAUUCGUAGAUAUGGGGAGGAACACCGGUGGCGAAGGCGGCCACCUGGACGGUAACUGACGCUGAGACGCGAAAGCGUGGGUAGCAAACAGGAUUAGAUACCCUGGUAGUCCACGCCGUAAACGAUGAGAACUAGGUGUCGUGGGUGUUGACCCCCGCGGUGCCGUAGCUAACGCAUUAAGUUCUCCGCCUGGGAAGUACGGUCGCAAGACUAAAACUUAAAGGAAUUGACGG
rnacentral:rRNA from 1 species